rnacentral:rRNA from 1 species
AGAGUUUGAUCAUGGCUCAGAUUGAACGCUGGCGGCAUGCCUUACACAUGCAAGUCGAACGGCAGCACGGGAGCAAUCCUGGUGGCGAGUGGCGAACGGGUGAGUAAUACAUCGGAACGUGCCCAGUUGUGGGGGAUAGCCCGGCGAAAGCCGGAUUAAUACCGCAUACGACCUGAGGGUGAAAGCGGGGGACCUGCAAGGGCCUCGCGCAGUUGGAGCGGCCGAUGGCAGAUUAGGUAGUUGGUGGGGUAAAGGCUCACCAAGCCGACGAUCUGUAGCUGGUCUGAGAGGACGACCAGCCACACUGGGACUGAGACACGGCCCAGACUCCUACGGGAGGCAGCAGUGGGGAAUUUUGGACAAUGGGCGCAAGCCUGAUCCAGCCAUGCCGCGUGCGGGAAGAAGGCCUUCGGGUUGUAAACCGCUUUUGUCAGGGAAGAAACGCUUCGAGAUAAUACCUUGGAGUAAUGACGGUACCUGAAGAAUAAGCACCGGCUAACUACGUGCCAGCAGCCGCGGUAAUACGUAGGGUGCAAGCGUUAAUCGGAAUUACUGGGCGUAAAGCGUGCGCAGGCGGCCAUGCAAGACAGAUGUGAAAUCCCCGGGCUCAACCUGGGAACUGCAUUUGUGACUGCAUGGCUGGAGUGCGGCAGAGGGGGAUGGAAUUCCGCGUGUAGCAGUGAAAUGCGUAGAUAUGCGGAGGAACACCGAUGGCGAAGGC